rnacentral:piRNA from 1 species
GGAACAGUAGACAGCCUGACCUUCU